CAACGCUAGUGUCUCCGGGAUGUCGAGGAGAGAAGCUGGGGCUCCGUCGUGUGGUUCACAGCCCAGUUUCGAGUGACAGAUCAUAUGCUCUCCUGGUUUGAUCUCCCGAGGAUUCCGAGUGAUGAAGAUGCCCCGUCCCUGGCAGCCACUGUCUGGCUUACAGAUAGCACUUCUUCUCCAAGAUCUGUCUGCAGCAGAGAAACUAAAAACCUGACUCUACCUUAGUCAGCUGUGAGUUACCCCAGCCAAUGAACUAGGACUAUUCUUCGGAGCUGUCCCUAAAGAACAAGAGCCUUGUCCUCAAACCCUGUGCUUUAGAGAGCUCAGGACAAAGACCUGUUACCACUAGGGUACCUCUCAGCUGGCAUUAAAAAAGACUUGAAGCUCAAACAAUCAUUGGUAAACCCACUAUUAAUAUGGCAGUGAGUUUAUGAACUCCCAUCAUCCAGGUACUCCCUUAUUCUGUCCUCCCCUUUUUUAUUCCUUUUUUCUUUGCAGGCUGUUCUUGAUGUUUAUUUAACUUUAUUUCAGUCAAAUAAAAAUGGGAAGGUCAUGGCAGUGCUAUGAUUUCUCCUAGGCCUUUAUCAUCUAUCCUUAUCACCUCCCUAACAAACCUGGCAUGCCUAUUUCCUACAUUCUUCAGUAGAAGCACUGUUGUCCCAAUUACUUCUUCUCCCUUGGUUCAUAUUAGAGUUUGGCUGGGAA